AUUAAUAAGCGGAGGAAAAGAAACCAACCGGGAUUCCCUGAGUAAGGGCGACUGAAAUGGGAAGAGCCCAGCGCAUAACCUCGCGGUCCUAACGCGGCCGUCGAGGGGUGUUGCGUUUCGGUGCAUCCAUCCCGCCCGAGCUGCUCACCGCCUAAGUCAUUGCUUGAAAGCAGCCCCAAGGAGGGUGAUAGGCCCGUGUGGCGGCGCCUGUAAAACGGGUGUAGGCGGCCCGGGCGGAGGGAUGUCCACCGCAGAGUCGGGUUGCUUAGUACUGCAGCCCUAAGCAGGUGGUAAACUCCAUCUAAGGCUAAAUACAACCACGAGUCCGAUAGGCGACAAGUACCGUGAGGGAAAGCUGAAAAGGACUUUGAAGAGAGAGUUAACAAGGACGUGAAACCGUUAGAAGCCCAAACGGGUGGAACUGCGAUGUUCGAAAGAGGGGAUUCAGCCCGCGGGCCUGCUGGGCGAAGGGCGGUUCAGAGAAAUUACUUAGAUGAGACCCGGCGUGAAUUGGGAUAGCCGUGGCACCGCCCCCGCCUGCGCAGUGGUUCCGCGGGCUUAUUUCGCCCUCUAGUAGGCGUCGCCGCGACUCGUUGAGGGGACUCCCAGGGCCGUGCCGGACUGGUAGCCCGGACCUUCGGGUCCAGGUGACGACCGGCUGCGGUGCCGACGGGCCCUCGCGACGAGCACUGCGAGGAGGCCUGGCUUGGGUCCUCCGGGGCCUGGGCCGGCAUCUCUCGCGGCGCAGACAGGGAUCGGUAAUCCACCCGA
rnacentral:rRNA from 1 species